GAUGAACGCUGGCGGCGUGCCUAAUACAUGCCAGUUGAGCGAUCAAGGGUGGUACUUGUUCCUAUUGGGUGAGCAGCGAACGGGUGAGUAACGCGUGGGGAACCUGCCUAUGAGCGGGGGACAACAUUUGGAAACGAAUGCUAAUACCGCAUAAAAACUCUAAACACAUGGUUUAAGAUUGAAAGAUGCAUUUGCUUCACUCUAUGAUGAUCCCGCGUCGGAUUAGCUAGUUGGUGAAGUAAAGGCCCACCCAGGCGAAGAUACAUUGCCGACCUGGGGGGGGGGUCGGCCACAUUGGGACUGGGACACGGGCCAAGCCCCUACGGGGAGCAGCAGGAGGGGAUCUUCGGCAAUGGACGGAAGUCUGACCGGGCAACGCCGGGGGAGUGAAGGAAGGUUUCGGGUCGUAAAACUCUGUUGAUAAGGAAGGACGUUAGUGGUAAGGGAAAGCUCAUCAAGUGACGGUAACUACCCAGAAAGCGACGGCUAACUACGUG
rnacentral:rRNA from 1 species